rnacentral:rRNA from 1 species
AUUGAACGCUGGCGGCAUGCUUUACACAUGCAAGUCGAACGGUAACAGGCCGCAAGGUGCUGACGAGUGGCGAACGGGUGCGUAAUGCAUCGGAACGUGCCCAGUCGUGGGGGAUAACUACUCGAAAGAGUAGCUAAUACCGCAUACGAUCUAUGGAUGAAAGCGGGGGACCGUAAGGCCUCGCGCGAUUGGAGCGGCCGAUGUCAGAUUAGGUAGUUGGUGGGGUAAAGGCUCACCAAGCCAACGAUCUGUAGCUGGUCUGAGAGGACAACCAGCCACACUGGGACUGAGACACGGCCCAGACUCCUACGGGAGGCAGCAGUGGGGAAUUUUGGACAAUGGGCGCAAGCCUGACCCAGCAAUGCCGCGUGCAGGAAGAAGGCCUUCGGGUUGUAAACUGCUUUUGUACGGAACGAAACGGCUCUGGUUAAUACCCGGGGCUAAUGACGGUACCGUAAGAAUAAGCACCGGCUAACUACGUG